CCUUGUAAUUAAUUUUCUCUAGAAUGAGAAGGAAAAUCUUGAAGGAUUAUUACAGACAUGGCUGUUUCCACAGAUAACGGCAGUACAAUGGUGCGCUUUAUGGUGCCAUACAUUAUGCCAAUGGGCACUCAAUUUGGUUUCCCUACAUUCAGAAGGAUACAAUUAAGCUACAGGGCCUGAGUGUAAGGGUGAGCCGCUUAACUCCAUUGUGCUGCAAGGAAUGGCAGAGGGGAUUGAGCAACCACAGUAUGCUUUGCGGACACCUCAGAAAAGGUCAGCAUGUGGCGUUCAUCAGUGGAAACUAAUGAUCGAAUCGACGUUACUCCGGCCUCCCCCCACAUAUCAAAGGAGUGAGCAGCCAUGCCGCCCAAAAAUUCAGGAAUUUGGGUUAAAGGUAGAUGUAGAGAAUGAUGUUGGCACAACCCCGUGUUAUGACGCAAGAUACGCCACAUUCUCCUAGUAGACCAUAAAAGCGGAUUCGAUUUGGUAUGGUCCGAGAUUUCCUGAUCAUGUUGAUGGAGAAAACACGUCAAGUCAAAGUUUGUCAAGAAGCUCUGUUCCACAGACGUAUUCGUGUAAACAGAGCUGUUUUGUAGCCAAUCCCUCAGAUGUCUCAGAAGCACAGCCUGAUUAUAAACUACUACAUCGGGGAAGUUGAUCCCUCCAUUAGAUUUAGGCUGAACAAGUUUAUGUAAUGCUAUACGGGCACGUCCCCCCUU